UACGGGGGGGGCAAGCGUUGUUCGGAAUUACUGGGCGUAAAGGGCUCGUAGGCGGCCAACUAAGUCAGACGUGAAAUCCCUCGGCUUAACCGGGGAACUGCGUCUGAUACUGGAUGGCUAGAGGUUGGGAGAGGGAUGCGGAAUUCCAGGUGUAGCGGUGAAAUGCGUAGAUAUCUGGAGGAAUACCGGUGGCGAAGGCGGUAUCCUGGACCGGCAUUGACGCUGAGGCGCGAAAGCCAGGGGAGCAAACGGG
rnacentral:rRNA from 1 species